rnacentral:rRNA from 1 species
AUACGGAGGGUGCGAGCGUUGUUCGGAAUCAUUGGGCGUAAAGAGCGUGUAGGCGGCGGGGUGUGUCUGAUGUGAAAGCCCGGAGCUCAACUCCGGAAGUGCAUUGGAAACUGCCUCGCUUGAGUCCCGGAGAGGGUAGUGGAAUUCCUGGUGUAGAGGUGAAAUUCGUAGAUAUCAGGAGGAACACCGGUGGCGAAGGCGACUACCUGGACGGAGACUGACGCUGAGACGCGAAAGCGUGGGGAGCAAACAGGAUUAGAAACCCUAGUAGUCC